UGAAACCGUUGCCUAUUAAUUCCUAACAAGAGAGAUCAUCACUGCCAAGAACUCAUCAAAUGUGACAUAGAGAGGACAACUUCAAGAAGAUGUAGCCACAGACUAUACAUUACAAUAUCUCAUUUGUACCAAUGUGUAUGUAAUUUUUGAUCGAGUCAAGUGUUAAGGUACCAUUCCGACUGCAGUGCCGGCGA